UUGUCUCGAGUAUGAAACUCAGCAGCGCAAGACUUCGGUAUUUCGACAAUCUUGCUGCUCGAGUUGCUAGAAACUAAAAGUGAAAUUGGCAGCAAGUCUCUCGUCAAGUGGAUUCUGGAUGAGGAAACCGAGCCUUAGAAUGGGAUGUCAUGGAAAGAAAAGCACACACAUUUUAUUCACCAAAAGGUUAUCACAAGAAACAGCACAACCACAAUAUUUAUUGUCGUCGACAUAUUACAUAAGCUUGGAUCUUGAUGGGCAACUUCAGUUCUUCUUGCAGGAACUUCCAGUCCAGUGCGAGCCCAUCUUGCAGCGGUGGCAAGAAUUGUUGUACCAGUACCAGUUUGGCGGGCAAUAGACGCACUUCUUCCCAUCCCAGUGCCCCCCCGGCUUGCAUCGCCCCUGGGCGCUCGCACUUGCAAUUCCUCCAAUGUCAACUCCCACCAGGAGCACCACCACAAGCAUCGCCAGCAGCAUCUUGUUGCUCGCCAUCUUUUUUAAGAACGCCUCUUGCUUUGAUGUGAUCCCAGACUUGUGAACGAGAUCGGAGAAAGCUAGAGAAACUUGGAGGAGCUUGAAUGUGAGCUUUGAUGUGCUUGAGUAUGGAGUGGGAGGAUCUAUAGUGCAGGAGAGCGUGUUAUAGUUCCGGAUAACUCGCUGACUUUUUCGACGUUGAAAAGUAAAAUGUCA
rnacentral:lncRNA from 1 species